UGAGGAACAUGACCUUCGGCGGGGGAUAGCCGGCCCAACGGCCGGGUAAUACCGCGUACGACCACAUGGGGACAUCCCUGAGUGGUGAAAGCAGCAAUGCGCCGAUGGAGUGCCUCGCGGCCUAUCAGCUAGUUGGUGAGGUAACGGCUCAUCAAGGCAACGACGGGUAGCUGGCCUGAGAGGAUGGCCAGCCACAUUGGGACUGAGACACGGCCCAGAUCC
rnacentral:rRNA from 1 species